rnacentral:rRNA from 1 species
GACAGAGGGUGCAAACGUUGUUCGGAUUCACUGGGCGUAAAGGGUGCGUAGGUGGUCGGGUAAGUCUGAUGUGAAAUCUCCGAGCUCAACUCGGAAAUGGCAUUGGAUACUAUUCGGCUAGAGGGUUUGAGGGGGGACUGGAAUACUUGGUGUAGCAGUGAAAUGCGUAGAUAUCAAGUGGAACACCAGUGGCGAAGGCGAGUCCCUGGAAAACUCCUGACACUGAGGCACGAAAGCUAGGGGAGCAAACAGG